CCCAUGCUUGCACUUCAUUUGCCUCCGUUCACAUCGCUGAUUUUGCCCACAGCCCAUCGAAGUGUUUGCCCUGCACUCCAAUGCCCGAGACCUGGAUUGGGGCUCCAUUCAGGGCGCUGCUCUCUGUGAAGUGUCAUUUAUUUCAAUCUCAUUUGAAGCUUAGAUUCCCCAGCUGUAUCGGUAGUGUUUAUUGCUGCCAUAAGCCCCAUGCUGUACAUUGCAUCCUGGCCGCUGCUGGCGGCGUAGAGGCCCAGAGAUCCGUCAACCAAGACUCAUCGAUUCGAUUGGGAGGAUGCUUCGAAAGGAUACAGCGCUGAUCUCAGAUCAAUCUGGGAUAUUUUAGUCUUGUCUUGUGCGUGUCCAGAGCGGCUACAGCGGCGGCAAUUGCGUUCAGUGUGGGACAGUGUACUGUGUGGGCGGACGGACUCUACAUCCAAUCCAUCGGUUCUGGCUGCUGGUCAUCAACUGCUGACGUUUCCAUAUCUAUGGGCGCAUCCACUGUGGAGGCGACUGGCAGCGGCUGGCCAAAGGUCUGCAAUUGCUUGAGCAGUGCCUGCUCUGACACUGGCGGCAGCGACAUCUUUGCUGCAAGGUCCAUCGGUGCGGGCAUCAGCGGGCAUGAGCCCAUUCCCCUGGCUCGGCCCUGGUCGGAGCCCAGCGACUGCAGUUCUUUUUUGUUCUGAUUCAUUUUCGUUGGGGGAGCGCUUCGGAAACUGUUUCGUUCGAGACUGAUUCGACAAUGAAGCAAAAGCCAACUAGAUUCGCAAAGUAAUUUCUCCC
rnacentral:lncRNA from 1 species